rnacentral:rRNA from 1 species
GACGAACGCUGGCGGCGUGCUUAACACAUGCAAGUCGAACGGAAAGGCCCUGCUUUUGUGGGGUGCUCGAGUGGCGAACGGGUGAGUAACACGUGAGUAACCUGCCCUUGACUUUGGGAUAACUUCAGGAAACUGGGGCUAAUACCGGAUAGGAGCUCCUGCUGCAUGGUGGGGGUUGGAAAGUUUCGGCGGUUGGGGAUGGACCCGCGGCUUAUCAGCUUGUUGGUGGGGUAGUGGCUUACCAAGGCUUUGACGGGUAGCCGGCCUGAGAGGGUGACCGGCCACAUUGGGACUGAGAUACGGCCCAGACUCCUACGGGAGGCAGAAGUGGGGAAUAUUGCACAAUGGGCGGAAGCCUGAUGCAGCAACGCCGCGUGCGGGAUGACGGCCUUCGGGUUGUAAACCGCUUUCGCCUGUGACGAAGCGUGAGUGACGGUAAUGGGUAAAGAAGCACCGGCUAACUACGUG